UGAUUUAUUGGUUGCAAACCAAUGUCAAUAAGUGUCGAUAUAUGGCCGAAUCUGUGCUUCUGAAGUGCACAUCUUUCGAAGGAAAGAAAAGUGUUGCAGAGAUCAGAACAGGUGAGGACACAGAAAGCACCGAAGAGGAAAUCCUUCUUCUGAGAGACGCCAGGACUGCAGCUGACUGGUGUAGCAAGAGAAACUGGGAUGGAAAAAUACUAUGUCCCAUUGUCCUUUCAAUGGAAAAGGAGCAACAAA